rnacentral:tRNA from 1 species
CAGAAGAUAGUUUAUAAAAAUAAUAAUUUUGGAGAUUAUAGAUAAGAAUAUUUCUUUCUUCUGA